rnacentral:rRNA from 1 species
GCGUUGUCCGGAUUUAUUGGGCGUAAAGAGCGUGUAGGCGGCCUUACAGGUCAGCUGUGAAAACUCGAGGCUCAACCUCGAGACGUCGGUUGAAACCGUAUGGCUAGAGUCCGGAAGAGGAGAGUGGAAUUCCCGGUGUAGCGGUGAAAUGCGCAGAUAUCGGGAAGAACACCCGUGGCGAAGGCGGCUCUCUGGGACGGUACUGACGCUGAGACGCGAAAGCGUGGGGAGCGAACAGG